GACGAACGUUGGCGGCGUGCUUAAUACAUGCAAGUCAACUGAAGCAGUGGUAGCAAUAUCGCUGUGGAGGUGGCGCACGGGUGAGUAACACGUAGGUAAUCUGCCUUCAGGUCUGGCAUAACUCCGGGAAACCGGGGCUAAUAGCAGAUGAUGCAGCGGCUCGACAUCGAGACAGUUGUUAAAGCUAUGGCGCCUGAAGAUGAGCCUGCGUCUGAUUAGCUAGUUGGCGGGGUAACGGCCCACCAAGGCAACGAUCAGUAGCUGGUCUGAGAGGAUGAUCGGCCACACUGGAACUGAGACACGGUCCAGACUCCUACGGGAGGCAGCAGUAAGGAAUAUUGCUCAAUGGGAGAAAUCCUGAAGCAGCAACGCCGCGUGAGGGACGAAGGGCUUUUGCUUGUAAACCUCUGUAGUGAGAGAAAAAAAUCCCAAUCUUUGGGACAUGAUGGUAUCUCAAAAGUAAGCCCCGGCUAACUACGUG
rnacentral:rRNA from 1 species